AACGAACGCUGGCGGCACGCCUAACACAUGCAAGUCGAACGAGACCUUCGGGUCUAGUGGCGCACGGCUGCGUAACGCGUGGGAACCUGCCCUUAGGUUCGGAAUAACUCCCCGAAAGGGGUGCUAAUACCGGAUAAUGUCUUCGGACCAAAGAUUUUUCGCCUUUGGAUGGGCCCGCGUUGGAUUAGCUAGUUGGUAGGGUAAAAGCCUACCAAGGCGUCGAUCCAUAGCUGGUCUGAGAGGAUGAUCCGCCACACUGGGAAUGAGACACGGCCCAGACUCCUACGGGAGGCAGCAGUGGGGAAUAUUGGACAAUGGGCGAAAGCCUGAUCCAGCAAUGCCGCGUGAGUGAUGAAGGCCUUAGGGUUGUAAAGCUCUUUUACCCGGGAUGAUAAUGACAGUACCGGGAGAAUAAGCUCCGGCUAACUCCGU
rnacentral:rRNA from 1 species